CUAAUGUAAAAGGCUCUUUUUAACAUUCACGCCGCAUACUCUAUUGAGGACAGUCAAAUCUCAGGCUGCAGAAGCAGACGAGCAUCGAAUCCUUUUCACGAUGAGAGCUAAGUGGAAGAAGAAGCGUAUGAGGCGUUUGAAGAGGAAGAGAAGAAAGAUGAGGCAAAGAUCUAAGUAGUCUAAUUUUGUUUAGACUUGGUAAUAGGAUUUAAGUUGGUGGUUAUAUUUUUAUGGUUUAGUUUUGAAUUUGUGUUGAACCUUUUUCUUCUGCUUAAACAGUGUUAUUGAGUUUUUA